rnacentral:lncRNA from 1 species
CUCUGUUUGCUUACUUACAAGUACCUAGCUUUUACAUUAGAGUUCUUCCAGGAAUUACUAAAACUGAAUUUACUAUCUUUGGGAAGCAUAAAACUAAAGUCUAGGUAAGAGAAAGGCAUGAUAUAAAGUUGAGCUACUGUUUAUCUUGUUCCUACUACACCAAGUUCUAGAGAUUUAUUUUUGAAAACUUACAAAUCACAUGAUGAGUUCCUAGUAUACAAAACUACCUACCACAGCCAUACUUGCUAUAACAUAUUUUGCUAUAUUUACAUUGAGUUUGAUCGAGCUGUGUAGACCCUUAGGAGCUUUUCAUGUGGUUAAAUUAAGAUAUUCACUUGCACACAUCUACCACAGCAUUCAUCAUCAAUCAUUAAAAUUGCUAAAAAUAUUAUCACUCACUGUUCCGAAUAUUGUUAUUCUCUCUCUCUAAAAAGAUUCAAUGCAGAAGAGGCAUGGGUUAUGCAAAAAUAUACGAGGAAAUAAAAAGGGGCAAGUGCCCGGAACCUCGAAAAAGAAAGAAAAGAAAGUGAGACGAGAGGUAAAAAUGGACAAGUGUCCGAAGUAGAAUUAGGGGUACAAAGAUGCCCACUUGAGCGGAAAAAAUGGACAAGUGUCCGACAGUAGAAUUAGGGGUAUCUACUACCCACCUGAAAAGAGAAAAAAAAGAUAGCCCAUGUUCUCCCA